ACCAUCAAAUGUGAAACCUCGAGCUCCACCUCGCUGCGGUCCUUUCGUCUGGACCGGCUCACGGGCUCACUGCGCACAGCCAGCGACGAGGACAUCAGGGACGCCCGCAACGCGACAGGCUCUCAGGACGGUCCCGGGGGCAACCCCAGCAACAGCAACAGCAGCCAGGACUCGCUGCAGAAAGCCCCAAAGAAGAAGGGCAUCAAGUCCUCCAUCGGUCGUUGGUUUGGCAAGAAGGAAAAGGGCCGGCCUGGACACACAAGCAAGGAGGCGUUAGGACCAGUGGCAGGCAGGAUGUUUACCGCUAGCGCCACCUGGAAAGCCCCAGGGAAUGCUGACAACUAGGAAAUGCAGAAAAUAAGGGGGCUGCUCCUAAGUUAAACUGGAAGAGCAGCAAGCACAGGAUGAAAAGAGGAAAACACACGAAGAGCAACAACAGUGCCGACAGAAACAAGCCGGGAUGUGUUCACCCACAAACAAAGUAUCUGUGCCAUUCGGAGGAGGAGCCCGCCAGCCCUUGGAGGGACAGUUGGAACCAGAAUGAAAACCGAGGCCAUGGUCAGCAGUGCCCACCCACACGGCCCGAGUGGCGUGGUGUCACUCACCGGCUUCCUGUGUCCCCAGAGCUGCUGGGGGUGACAUCUGAGUGCUGAGGCCAGGCAGCGUCCCCAGGUGAGCUAAGGCAUCCCUGCUCUCCUUCCAGUGCUGCUGUGGGGCUCUCUGUGGGCGGCCACCCUCAUCGCCUGCUCUGCCACCCGCUGGGGCCCGGCUGUGCCCCUGGGAUCCUUUCAGCCCUUGAACUUGGGUGUUCCCAGCCCUCUGCCACGUCGCACUGGGACGCAACUCAGGACUUGGGCUUGAGAUAUCAAGGAGACCGUGAAUCUGGAAGGACACAGCCCUGGAGCCCUGGAGUGAGCAUGUGAGAAGAGCAGGAGAGCAAAGCCCCCUCGGGGAGGCAGCAGAGCUGGGGAACGUGCCCACACCCACCGCUGCCUCUGGCACAAGUGCCUCUUCUUUGCCUCUCCUUGGCCUGAAACAGACCCCAGCUGCUGCUGCUCCGCAGGUGCUUCCUAAAGAUGCACAUCCUGCAAGAGCUAUUUUCCUGCUGCUCUGGGGCUGCCUAAGUGUGCUCAGGAUCGUCAGACAAGUGGGGCUGCCACCCCUGAUGCUGAGGGAGGGCCUGAUGCUGG